rnacentral:rRNA from 1 species
CCUACGGGUGGCAGCAGUGAGGAAUAUUGGUCAAUGGGCGGAAGCCUGAACCAGCCAAGUAGCGUGCAGGAUGACGGCCCUACGGGUUGUAAACUGCUUUUAUACGGGAAUAACGCGCCUUACGUGGAGGGCUUUGCAUGUACCGUAUGAAUAAGGACCGGCUAAUUCCGUGCCAGCAGCCGCGGUAAUACGGAAGGGCCGGGCGUUAUCCGGAUUUAUUGGGUUGAAAGGGAGCGUAGACCGCAUGUCAAGCGUGCUGGGAAAUGUCCGGGCUCACCCCGGGCCUUGCAGCGCGAACUGGCGUGCUUGAGUCCGCGUCACGCAGGCGCAAUUCGUCGUGUAGCGGU